rnacentral:lncRNA from 1 species
CCUCGCCCUGGCAGAGCCGGGGUGCCGGGUGGGGGCAGGCUCGGGGGCCUGCCUGCGGUGAAUCAGGCUUGUGACCUCAGGCCGUCCAGGAAACCAGGGCGGUCUUCCAAGCGGGCAGCCACGUUGCCUACUUGAGGCCAAGGCAGAAGCAUCAAUCACAUGGGGCGUAGUUUCUGUCUGGCUAAAGAACGGCUCACGCGGACCUCGGGAAUGCGACUGUGGAAACGACGGGGAAGCUGGAAGGGCUGGGUGGCGGGGGAAGCUGGAGGGCACAGCUUCCAGAUUCCAGUUUGUUAAGAAUCACCUGAAGGACGUUUCUCUGAAGGGAAAGUGGGCAUCUGUGAAGGGUUAGAGGCACAUACUUCAACUUUCCCUAGCACAAGAGUGGAAAUCCAUACUCCUUGGGGAGGGACUUUGUCACUGAACCUUAAGAAAAUGGUUACUGGACUGAGCUUGGUUACUUAUGCCUGUAAUCCUGACGUUUUGGUAGAUGGAAGUGGGAGCAUCGAUUGAGGCCAGGAGUUCUAGCCUAGGCAAUGUAGUGAGACUCUCAUCGAAAAGAAAAUAAAAAAAAGAAGAAAGAA